AAGUUGUAUGACAACUUAAUGAAUAAUGAUUCACAAAGGCCAAAUUAGCCCAAUAAUACCCUAAGGCAUGCCAUUUAGAGAUGGAGUGAGUUUUGGACUUAUUUACAAGUUUCCCACUCCAAUGAAUUAAAGUAUAAAUAUGACUUUAUAGCCAAAAUUCAUUUAGUGUUUUCUUUUGGGGAAAGGAUGAGAACAUAAUCUCUCAUUUCUCUCUAAAGUGGCCGGGCUCCUUGGAGGGUUUAGUGAUAGGAGCAUAUUUAUGCGACUUAAUUGGCUUGUUCUCGUGCAUUUACAUUGUGUUUCCUUAGUUAUUUUAGUGUUUAAAGUCACUUUUCGUGUGUUUUCAGAUUCUAAGGUCAAAGGAUGCAAGAAGAUGUAUUUUGGAGCCUUUUGAAGAAAAAUUGAGCUUGGAAUGGUUAUCACACGUUUGAAGCAAAAGGAUGGACGAAAAUUGAAGACAAAAGGAAGGUAGAAAGGUGUUUAAAGUCAAAGGAAUCCGUUUGGAAGCGUGGAAGACAAAGAAAAACACAAAUUGAAGCAUUCCUACAAAGAUGGUGCCUUGUCUCCUUUGUGUUCCCUCCUUGUCUCCUCUUGUGCAACAAUUCCCCUUGCCAUGUUUCCUUAUCCUUAAACCAUGUAAAAACCUUUCCUUUUCCCUUUAGGACAUUGCAAAAUCCCUUUCCCUUUACUUUUAGGAUCCUUGCCGCACCUUGUUCCCCUUCCCUCUUCCUUGCCGUGCAAGGGAGAGUGCUCUUUCCUAUUUCCUUGCCUUAAAUCACUUUCCUAAUCCAUUCUAAUCCCAUGCCGCACCCUUUACCUAUUUUCCUUUAGUUUUCUGAUUUAUUUCCUUAAUUCUAGAAGCUUUAAACUUAAUUUCUGAUUACCUAAUUAACCUAGGGUUUGAAUUCCUGAAAUCCCUUUUAAAUAAACAUCCUUGUGCAGCCACAAAUCAUCCCUAGAAUAACCAUUCACGCCAGAAACACCCUACCACUCUCAGCCGCACCAUUCUACCACCAUUCACCCUAAUUUCUGCCCAGAAACAUACCUAGCCGACCCCUACACCUAUCCUAAACAUAAACCCAUCAUUCUACAUCAUCCAUAAGCCCCUAAACUCAACCCCAACCCUUGUAUCGUAGCAAAGGAGAGGAAGAAGAAGUACUUGGAAGUUCUAGUUGUUCAACAUUGAAUCGUUGGAAUAUUUAGGUGUUCUCUUUCUUAUAUUUACAAUGUAUCAAUCUGUUUUCCUUUGUUUUGUGAACAUGAGGAACUAAGCCUUUUUGGCUAGGGGGUUAUUCAAUACCAUGAUGAUACUUGCAAGAUGAAUUGAUUACGUCUAAUUGUUAUUUCAUGAAUUGUGAAUGCAAUUUGCUUAACUGUUUGAUUGAUGACUUAUUUUUGUGUGUUGAUUAAGGUGGCCAACUUAGUUUUCAUGUAGGAAUUUGAAGCUAAAAUAUAAGGAAGUUUCACCUAAUAGUUACAACCUUAUAUUUGCAAGUAGUGGAGGUCGCUUAUAAACGAUCGUGUUAAGUGAAUUCUUGGCAAACGUUUCAUGCUUUUCAUAGUAACAAUUGCCUCGCCAAUGCUUAUAGUUUUCAUGAAGCUUAAUGAUCUUUGAUUGUAUCUUUAUUGUGCUUUUCACGUAAGGAACUUUUAGAGAAUGUUUUGAGUUGUUGCAUGUGCAUUCCCAUCCAAUUCAAUAACGUAAGGAAGACUUGAAGGUUAAAAAAGUGCUAUCACAGUUAACCUAGGGCAUUGAGAUUCAUAGUUUAUUGAAAGAAGCAAUUGGAAAUCAAUUUGAAUGCAAGUGUUUCAUGUGUGCAGAAGAUCCCCCUAGUUACCCCAUAUCUCAUCAAAUCACCUAAUCUUAUCUAAGAAUCUGUUUUCAUUGUUCUUGUUUUAAUUUAAUUAUUUUCGUCCAAAAUCAAUCCCACCUUAUUUCUUUGAGUCAUAUUAAUUAGAACUUGUCUUAGAUUAUGUUUUUAAGUGUUUUAGGUCAUUAGAAAACCAAAAUUCGUCCAAGUUUGUGUUAGAGUCCCAAAACUGCCCAGAAAGUGUUUUAAGGCAGUUUUGAGUGUUUUUGGUGCUGUUUUGAGUCUUUUGAUUUGUUUUAGUGUUUUAGAGUUUAGUUUUGCAUUAUUUGAGUCAGUUUAGAGUGUUUUAGCAAUCCCUCAUAAUCCCCGAUUUAAGAACAAUCCCUACUUAUCCAUACUACAAUUGUCAACAAGAGGGUUAAUUUGUGUGUUUAGUUAAUUUUACGCAUCAUUUAGCUAGCAAUCCUACUACUCAAAGGUCACUCAUUUCUUCUCCAAUCUAACCUUGGUGAAGAGACUUAGAGGUUCUCAAUUUUGGGAACUUGGAGAACCAUUUCAUCCAUCCAAAUCCAUAGAUCUAAGAUGCAAGGAAUGAAGGCCCUCUCUUUGGGUGAUUAGCCUUUGCUUAUGCAAAGAGGAAUCUACAAAGGUAUAAUUUCUCAACUAACAAAUGUUGUUUUAAGUUGAGUCAAGGUUCAUCAAUCUACUAGGCUUUGAAUUUCAUGGGUAAUGUUUUGUUUUGAGUGCAUGCAAGCAUGAUUCCGCCUUUAAAUUUGUUAAUUGCAUGCUAUAGAUGUUGCUCAAAUGAACAUGUUUUUCACAAAAUUUCCUUCACAAUUGGCAAUCCUAUGGCUAGGAACGUUUUAGGAAUGAACAUAAGAGAAAGGUCUCGUUAAUUUAACUUACUUAAAUCACUUCUCUCUUAGAUCAAAUACAUUCCUUGGAUUCCCUUAUUGCUUAAACACAUGAUACAAUAAAUAGUGAUUAACAAUAAGCUUUGCCCUUCAUUAAACAUAUAAUAGUUUAAUACAUUAAGUAUUCCGAAAGCUAUUACAUCAAAUGAGUGGCUUUGUGGGCAUACUUCCAACACUUUACACUGUCCUUGUGUAACUGUGUGUUGGCUUUGCUUGUUCUAGUUUCGAAUGGGGAUUGCCCAUUCUUUCUUCUCGACAUUGGGAUGUAUCGAAAGACUGGUGUGUUUGACGCUUUUAAGGGAGUCACACUCCCUUUGGUUAUUGCGGGCUUAGUAGCCUCAUCGUCGUCUUUCCUUGAAGAUGGCAUGACUUCUCUUUCUUGCUCUUUGGGCACAGCUUGCCACUCCUUCUUUUUGGGUGCGACUUUGCCUGUGGACUUGAUCUCUUUUGGAAGAGCUUUAGGCACCAUUUCUUCAUCCAUGUAGAACUUGGCGUCUGUAAAGUGUGAUUUGGCUUUAGUGAAUGGCUUGGUGUCGCCUUAUAUCACCUUCACCCCUCCUUGUUAGAACUUUAGGCAUUGGUGGAAGGUGGACGGCGCCACUUCAUUCUUAGGGAUCCAAGGCCUUCCCAAGAGCAAGUUGUAGGAAGUUCUCACGUUAAUCAUGUGGAAUAGCGUGCUUGACUUGAGUUCGCCACUGGUCAUUUCGACUUGGACCAUGCCCAUCACUUUUUGUCUUCCUUGAUUAAAACCUUGGAUUAAAAGAUGGCUUCAGGAUAGUUUAUCUACCUUGGUGCCGAUUGUAGUCAUUGUUGACUUUGGCAUGAUUGUUUUCAUUAUCGAACCUUCGUCCACAAGCAUGUUGUUGACUUUGUGUUCCCUUACGUACCCAGACGAAGAGAUGAUGGUUGUGAGGCUUUGAUCCCAGCAACAUGUCUUCAUCAGUAAAGUUAAUCGCAUCAUGGGCGGCCACAUGUAUAGGUGGCACAACAUGUUGCAUAUUCAAAUGGUCGAAGCUUCAAGCCUUCAUCAUUGCUUGCUUGCACUUCGUGGAUGUCGGGCCUUGCCAAGACCACUACUAGUGCUCUUCGCAUCUCCUUGGGCAAUCGCAGCGCCUCCUCGAUGCUAAAGUAUGACGCCAGGCUUUCUUCAGGUGUGGGAGUUUUCUCUUCCUCGAUGACAAUAACUUUGCCUUUUGAGGGCUCUUCUAUCUCCAUUUCAACCAUAUGACAGGCAACGGUAGUGCAUUGUUGGAAGAAAUCCUUCGGGAAGUACUCGUGCAAGAAGACGGGAAUGCGUGGCUCUUGCUCCAUAGGUUCCCCAGUGUAUGUUGCCUUAGCAGCUCUUACGCUUCUUUUGGGCUUCCUAUUGUGUGGCGGCGGUGCUUUCUCCCUCGCUCAACCUUAGGCCAUAUGGCUUGUGGUCUUUGCUUAUUUGGUUUUUUGUAGGUCACUAACGUCCACCCUUCUUCAUCGUCGGUAGGUGCAUCUUGGUCAUUUGCCCCCAAUGAUGCUUGUGCAGAAGGUGUCAUGCAGCUUAAGCAUAGACGGGCGUGGGUAUGCGUCACAUGGAAAGGCGAAGAAUCCAAACAUAAUUGUAGUAGUGUGAGUUACAACCGUGUCUUCAAGGUUAAGCUCAAUUUGCCCUUACUGUCCCAGCUUCAUGAUGAACUCCUUGAGGAUGAAGCAUUUGUCAACUGUAUGACUCACGAUACAAUGGUAUUUACAGUACCUAGGAUUGUUAACUCGAUUCAUCUCUUCACGGUGCUUGCAUUCAAGCAACUUGAUUACUUUAUUCUCCAACUGGUCGUCUAGCAUUGCAACCACGUCAGAGUCCAGGAAAGGGUACAUCUUCUGCUCCAGUUCCCUCAUGGUGUUUUUGUUCCUAUCUUGGGUGCGAGAAGGCUCACCUUUCUUUGUCUCCUUUGUUUUGUUCUUGGAUGAGAUCUUGACCGGCGUAGAGGAGGUCAUGAUAAGGGUAGCGUUGACGGUAAAAGCUUCUUUAGCGGG
rnacentral:lncRNA from 1 species